ensembl:lncRNA
GACGGACACAAAAAUGAGAAGGGCCAUCAGUGCCCGACAGAGAUUGUCUGUAACCCUCAGAUUCCUUGCAACUGGUGAGUCUUUCAGGUCACUGAGCUUCCAGUACAGGAUUGGCAGGUCUACUGUUGGCGCGAUUGUAAUGGAGACCUGCGAAGCAUUGUACAAUGUUCUGAAGGAAGAUCACAUGAAGACACCAACAACUGAGUCUGAGUGGCGAGAGGAUUUGAAGACAAAUGCCAAUUUCCUCAUGCUUAGGUGCAAUUGAUGGGAAACACAUCUAUAUUCAGCCCCCUGCUAAUUCAGGAAGUUCGUUUUAUAAUUAUAAAGGCA